UGAUACACUAGUACACACAAAGUUGCCCCGACAUCGUUCUGUGAGUCGCUUCGCUCUUGAAGGCCUUAAAACCUGUAUCGAAAUCAACAUUUUUCAGCGUUCAUUCAUUUGCUUCGCAUAGCUCACCUUGUUAGCUGCGCCGGGUUAACCUAAUAAGCCAGCGCGGGGCGAGCUGAGGAGCCCGCGGUUGGCAAUGUCUAAUCUACAGGUAGGUUGCGCGAGAGGGGCGGGGCUCGAUGCGGGUGUGGCUGCGGAAGAACACUCGUAGAUCUCGAGGCGCGAAACUGGCACUCCAACAAUUUCCGCAAACUCGGGAGAGCCAUUACGUCAAGUAUUUGUAUUUUGGCUGUUGUGAAAAGAAGGGCUGAAAUCCGGCGUGUAUCAAGCUUUUACCGUGGAGUUCGGCUUGCAAGGGCGGGCAAGCCCUUCACAAAAACGCACAAUCGGC
rnacentral:lncRNA from 1 species